CAGAAAAUAGUUUAUAUUUAAAAUUUUAAUUUUGGAGAUUAAUAAAAAAGGUUUUUCUUUUUUUCUGA
rnacentral:tRNA from 1 species